UUGAGUCAUAAGACCAAUAAACACUCUCUGCUAUUCUUCUUCACAGUGUCAUCUCCUCCAUGAGAGUCAACCAUGAGCUUUUGAUGUGUCUUCACCAUUUUUCAUUCAACUUCUUGAUUCAUCAACCUACCUAUAGAGUUAAAGACCAAAGCUAGAGUAGCCUCUCUUAAUCAGCAAUUCUUAUUCUCCAAAUCUUCCAUUUGUCAACACAAUUAAGCUGAGUUGUUGAAUUCAUAGAGCACCAAGGCCUCUAUAAAUAGUUGUCAAUUCAUCCCCAAAUGCAAUACAAUUCAGAUUAACCUUCAAUUUCUAAACCACCAUUAAAACCCUCUUAAACAAAAUAAAUUUCUGAAAAAUUACCAAAACCACCACAUUAACCACCAUUGCCGCCCCUUUCUACCGAAAAAUCACCACUGUUGUCAAAUAUUGUGCAAUCUCGUAUAUUCUCAUUAAUAACACACGUAUAUAUAGUACAACUCAGUUACCUAAACCCUAGGUACACAUUAGGUAACUCACCAUAGUUAGGACUCUACAGAAUAUUCACAGAAUAAUAUCUAAUAUCUUAACAUAUCUUAACAACUGUCAACCACCCAGCUCUGCUCACUCUUCGACUCCGGUCACAGUCGAACCGCCCAGCAGACUCACCUCCGCUUUUUUCCUUUCGAGCUCCACGGCGCUGCUUCUGUUGUUUGUGCCUUUGCUUUGAAAUCGGACUUGGAGCUCAGAAGGAACGAGUUGAGGAAACGGAGUAACGAACUACAAAUUAAGGUGCCGACCGGGACGGCGGAUGCGAUUAGUGGCAAGGAUUUCGUCGUAUUAGGGCUCACUUAGUUUAAGCUUAAUUUGUACUAAGUUCAAGUAAGAAUUUUCUACUAAGUUGUGUAAGUUACUU